GUUUCUUCAAGGUUAUUGCACGCAUUUUCAUUUAUAAGCACAACAAUUUGUGUUCUUGCCCUUAGUGUAUUAUUAACCAAAGAUUAUGGUUCUUAAUUAAGUGUAUGAAACUUCAAGUUCCUGGUCAUUAUCUUUAGUGAUAGUUUUAUUUGAUUUGUUUAGGCAUACUUAAUUUCUGGUUACCUUGUACAGGUAGCUACCAUGUCUACGACUGAAUUCUUUGUUUUGUUUGAUAUAUUGUUCAAUGACUACAGUGACAUUAUAGGAAUGCAAUAAUGACUGGAGCCCUUUUUUUUCUUUGAGUAGAUUAACAUUUAUAGCAACACGUGAACUAUUGUUUUCCCUUUGAUAUGUAAUAAUCAUCCGUAACUUGCCUCUUUUCUUUGUGCCUUAGGGUUUUGGCCAAGUGGUG
rnacentral:misc_RNA from 1 species